GGUUCCGCCAUUUGAAAAAAAACGUUCGUAACUGCUCAGCUGAACCCGAAGCUUGAUGAAGAAGGCCGUCAAUAUUUCAACAAAAACUAACAGAAUAUGGAUCAGAUUCGGACAACGACUUCUUAAGACAUUCACACAACAGGCUAAACAAUUCAAAGAGGGAUCUCUGGAUGAUCGAGCAGCAAGUCCAGCAUUAUGUGGGAAAGAUACUACAUGUGUACACAGAAAAGGCCAUGUUCUUGUACAAGACACGGUUGGAGUUCAUAAAAGAUUAAGCUGCCUCGUGCUAUACAGACUUGGAUAAAAACAAGCUGUCCAAUGAAUGGUGACUACUCAAGAGGAGCCAGAAAGUCAACUAAAGCCAGGGUAUUUUGGGAGUUGAUAUGGCCGGGGAAGGGGGGAGGGGGGGUUUCCAGGGCCCCCCCCCCCCUUCCUUGAGAUCUUGACCGCACAAUCGCGUCUAACAUUGGCACAUGGGUUGUCUAGGGCAUAAUUUACAAAAUUAAAUUGUAAAUUAUUUCACGCAAAUUGUUAGUAAGUGAUAAUACUAAUUUAUGCGUAAUUAGAAUACAAAAUCAUACUUUUUCCUCUAUUGCAUUGACUUUGUACACAAAAUCACGUUUUUGAGCAAUUUUUGGUAUGACAUGUACUUACAUAAUGUCACGUUAUUACAGAACCACGUACCGGGUGACACAAGAUUGGUCUCAAAAGAUGCACAAGACUAGAAAGAGGCAUGUUUUAAAAAAAUUGUGCGACAGCAUGGUCGCCAAAUUUUUGGAAGGGGGGGGGGUCAAAUUGGUCCAAUUUAACUAAGGGUUAAUAACUGGGAGGCUGUUAGCUGCCUUUUUACUUUCAAGUCUUGCACAUCUUUUGAGACCAAAUUUGUGAUGCCUGGGUACGCUGUUCCGAAAUUUCGCAACAUUUUUAUGUAUUAAUCCAACACAAAUACUGUUUCUUGCUAAAAUUCACAAUUAGUAUACCAGUAAUAUACAUUUAUCAAGUCAAAUUAUUUAAUUACAUUUAUAAUCAUAAAAGCUUUGAUAAAGUAUAAAAAAAAACAAAGAGUUGUAUGUAGGCCUGGGACUUUCGGGUUUUUUCUCUUCGGGUACCCGUGGUAAUUUUCGGGUGGGUACCUGAAAAUCAUGUCACUUGAAAUAUGACUGGUGGAAAAACCCCAUAGGUGACGUCAUCAAGCCAAUGCGAUGCAAGCCAAUUUAUGAAUGAAAAUAUAGUAAGCAUGCGCAUUGCAAGCCUCCUGUGCCCCACGCAGUAUUCCAUCGAAACAAGUUUCAAUACUCUGUCACCUCGUACCAAAAUCGACCUAGAAUUCCACUUUCCUAUAUAUCAUAUGAAUUAUAAAAGGUUUUCUCACCGAUACUGCACAGGUAAGCAAAUUUUUAUUCUUGCUUUUCCGUCAAAAUCUUACGAAGUAGCAUCGAUAUUACAUCGUGUUCGUGAGUUUGUAUCGCUACGUGAACAAAGUCAAUUGAUUUCCGGGUUUCGGAGCGUCAAAUGCGCCAGCCAAUCACGAUCGUGUUCCCAUUUUCGGUUUAUGAUGAACUAAAAAUGGUAACAAGAACGUGAUUGGCUGGUGCUUCGUAGGUCGAUUUUGGUAUGAGGUGACAGAGUAUUGCAGACUUGUUUUGACGUAAUACUGCGUGGGGCUGAGGCUUGCAAUGCGCAUGCUUACUAUAUUUUCAUUCAUAAAUUGGUUUGCGUCGCAGUGGCUGGAUGACGUCACUGCGCUGCAAAAGAAACAUGGCGAUGAUUGAACGAUCUCGGUCACAUCAUCAUCACUUGAAAACUUGUAUAUUUAUGGAUAUUUAGAGGGUAAUUGGUGAAAUUCAAAAUGAGGCUUGUGUACUUUUGUAAUGAGUUACAAUCAUGUCUUACACUACGCAAUACAAAUCAAAUACAUGUACAUUAUACUGGUGAGCAAUUUUCGGGUAUCGGGUAUUGAUUUUUCUACUCGGGUACCCGGGUUUUAGUCCCAGCCCUAGUUGUAUGAAAAUUUUCAAAAAUAAUGAAAGGUAAAAGAAAACAAGAUUACAAUGUCCAUUGCAAGGGGGCUAGUCUAGCUAUUCAGGAUAAUUGGGAUUUUAUUCAGUUUUUAAUUGACAUAACAUUAUGACAAGAUCCCUCCAUUUAGUGUAUAAACAGCACAUGGCCGUGAUUGAAAUUCAUAUAACAUUAAAGUAUGCAAACCAGGCAGCUACAUGUACAUGUAGGACUCACUGCUUGUCAAUUCUAUUGUCUGCCAGGGUCAAGUGACAUACAGUGCACAUGUAUAACAUGUGUGAAAGUACAUAAGAAAAUCAGCUUUUUAUUUUUGUACUGUAACAUUGGGUGAACUGGUGAUCACUUUGGAUAUGAUGCUCUUCAUAUUGGUUUAUUUUAUGUAUAUGAAUUUUUGGAUAAUCAUUAAGAAUUAAAGCCAUUUACUUAAUAUAUGGAAGCAUAAGCCCAUCAAAGAACAGAAUUAUGUCAUGUACAGCUAAUUCAUUUUGCGUGAUAUUACAAUUGUAAUUGUUUACUUGAGCAAGUAAUUUGAAUUGCUGCAUGACCUAAACAAUGACAUGUUCCAAUUCGAAUAGUAACAUGACCUAAAGAAGAGUUACUCCACCUCGAUUGA